GAUGAACGCUGGCGGCGUGCCUAAUACAUGCAAGUCGAGCGAACAGACGAGGAGCUUGCUCCUCUGACGUUAGCGGCGGACGGGUGAGUAACAUGUGGAUAACCUACCUAUCAGACUGGGAUAACUUCGGGAAACCGGAGCUAAUACCGGAUAAUAUAUUGAACCGCAUGGUUCAAUAGUGAAAGACGGUUUUGCUGUCACUUAUAGAUGGAUCCGCGCCGCAUUAGCUAGUUGGUAAGGUAACGGCUUAUCAAGGCGACGAUGCGUAGCCGACCGGAGAGAGUGAUCGGCCACACUGGAGCUGAGACACGGUCCAGACUCCUACGGGAGGCAGCAGUAGGGAAUCUGCCGCAAUGGGCGAAAGCCUGACGGAGCAACGCCGCGUGAGUGAUGAAGGUCUUCGGAUCGUAAAACUCUGUUAUUAGGGAAGAACAAAUGUGUAAGUAACUAUGCACGUCUUGACGGUACCUAAUCAAAAAGCCACGGCUAACUACGUG
rnacentral:rRNA from 1 species